rnacentral:misc_RNA from 1 species
UCAACCCUCAAGCCUGGCUUGCUGUUGGACCAUUCGUCGGUAUUUCAGACGGGUCCCAAAGAUAAUGACAGAGUCGUGUUGGACCCUAGAUGCAACGAGCUUUGAAUAGCACGCAUUGAAGUGGCCAACCACUCUUGUCUCAACCCUAUUUUUACAA